rnacentral:rRNA from 1 species
AGGAUGAACGCUGUCCGCGUGCUUAACACAUGCAAGUCGGACGGACCAUAUUCGUAUGGUUAGUGGCAGACGGGUGCGUAACACGUGGGUGACCUGCCCUCAAGUGGGGAACAACUCCGCUAACGCGGAGCUAAUACCGCAUAUGUUCGCUCUUUCGGUAGGGCGAGUAAAGCAGUAAUGCGCUUGGGGAUGGGCCUGCGGCGGAUUAGCUAGUUGGUGGGGUAACGGCCUACCAAGGCGAUGAUCCGUAGGGGGCGUGAGAGCGUGGCCCCCCACACUGGCACUGAGACACGGGCCAGACUCCUACGGGAGGCAGCAGUGAGGAAUAUUGCACAAUGGGCGCAAGCCUGAUGCAGCAACGCCGCGUGAGGGACGAAGGCCUUCGGGUCGUAAACCUCUUUUCUGGGGGACGAGUAAGGACGGUACCUCAGGAAUAAGUCUCGGCUAACUACGUGCCAGCAGCCGCGGUAAAACGUAGGAGGCGAGCGUUAUCCGGAUUUACUGGGCGUAAAGCGUACGCAAGUUGGCUUCGUGAGUCGGACAUGAAAGCUCCGGNCUUAACUGGGAGAGGUUGUUCGAUACUGCGAGGCUUNGAGGUUGGGAGGAGGGACGUGGAAUUCCCGGUGUAGUGGGUGGAAAUGCGNUAGAUUAUCGGGGAGGGAACUACCAGUGGCCGCAAGCGGGCGUUCCUGGGCCCCACACCUGGACGCUGAAGGUUACCGAAAGCCGUUGGGUUAGCCAAACCAGGGAUUUAGAUUACCCUUGGU